rnacentral:pre_miRNA from 1 species
CGUCUUACCUGACAGUGGUAGAUUUUGCUUCCGUGCGCUCUAACACUGUCUGGUAAUGAUGUU